rnacentral:rRNA from 1 species
AUGCAUUUGUUUUCCCCUAUCUUCCGAAAAAAUAUAAAGACACGCAGAUUGUGUGUUGUUGAAAGAAAAUUACACAUAAUCUAUCUCUGUAUUGUAACAAGAUGUUGUGUUGUACACGUACAAUUCAGGCUGAUGCUAGUAGCUGCUCUUUUCCCUUGCUCUGAUCUUCAUCUCUACCAUGCCGCAAGUAUAGCUUGCUCUGCUUUCCCUCUGUUUGUUGGAUUCCAUCUGGUUUCUGAAAUGUCUGUUACCGUUUUUGUCAGCCAGAGGAGAGUUGGACUAUUCAGUAGCUUGGCAAUGCUAGCAUUCUAUUUUCAGCAUGUUUUAGUAUCUAUGGAAAAUUCUAACUUAUUCUUCGUGUCAAAUUCAUCUAGUUGCACAACAGAUACUGUUACCUAUACGUAA